rnacentral:sRNA from 1 species
GCUGGGUGCGGUGGAGCAUGCCUAUAAUCCCAGCAGCUUGGGAGCCUGAGGCAGGAGGAUCACGAGUUCAAAGCCAGCCUCAGCAAAAGUGAGGAGCUAAGCAACUCAGUGAGUCCCUGUCUCUA